rnacentral:rRNA from 1 species
GACGAACGCUGGCGGCGUGCUUAAUACAUGCAAGUCGAACGGAAAGGCCCUGCUUUUGUGGGGUGCUCGAGUGGCGAACGGGUGAGUGACACGUGAGUAACCUGCCCUUGACUUUGGGAUAACUUCAGGAAACUGGGGCUAAUACCGGAUAGGAGCUCCUGCUGCAUGGUGGGGGUUGGAAAGUUUCGGCGGUUGGGGAUGGACUCGCGGCUUAUCAGCUUGUUGGUGGGGUAGUGGCUUACCAAGGCUUUGACGGGUAGCCGGCCUGAGAGGGUGACCGGCCACAUUGGGACUGAGAUACGGCCCAGACUCCUACGGGAGGCAGCAGUGGGGAAUAUUGCACAAUGGGCGGAAGCCUGAUGCAGCAACGCCGCGUGCGGGAUGACGGCCUUCGGGUUGUAAACCGCUUUCGCCUGUGACGAAGCGUGAGUGACGGUAAUGGGUAAAGAAGCACCGGCUAACUACGUG